rnacentral:lncRNA from 10 species
CACACCCUGUAUAAUGUCUGAGCAGGUUUUCUGCAUAGUUGCCAGUGCUUAUUUUUACAAUCUCUAACAUAACAGCUUCAAAUAUAAACACAAACAUAGCCAGCAUGAACGACAGCAUCUGCAUUGGCCACGGAGCUAAAACAGGCUCUUAGAAAUGUGCUUGACAUUUCCCGUGGCAGCUUCACAGCCUCCUUGGAAAGCCUUGGUCCACCUCUCUGCUGCUGACAAGCUCUGAUUUGGAUGAAGAAAAGGAGGCUCAGAGAGUUUAAGAAACUUACCCUCCUCACACCAUGGAUAACAGGCAGAGCCAAAAGCAAAUGCAGAGACAGUCAAAAUCUCCAGGCCACACUCUGCAAUAAAAACUCAGCAAGUUUAGAGGAUACAGCAUGAAGCUUCCCAGACGGCCAGAAGUUCUGCUGACGGUACUAAAAUUCAGGAGCCUCAUCUAGCAUCCCAGGCAGAUGAAGACGUUGAUGCUCAAAAGUCGCUAAUGAGAAGCUGAGCCAAGAGUCAGAUCCAAAGUCCUUCCAGCUCUGAAGCCUGCAUUGUUUCCAACGCAUGAUGUUGUCUGAAUGGUGAGCAAUGGAAGACAGAAGAUACUAACAUGGUAGAAAUUAUCCUGAGUGGGGAGAGAGAAGGCCCUGGGGUGCUGCGAGUGUCCUGGGCAGGCAGCAGGGAGCCCCUUUAGCCCUGACUAGCUUGGUUGCAUUUCUGAUGGGUUUGACAUCAACAGGCUCUGCUGAGUCCCAAUUUGGCUAGGUACCACCACUUGUAGCACAGGGCAGAUCACUCCAAUGCCUGCAGCAUUCAUUUCUCAAUUUUCAAAUAAAACUAGCUUUGUUUGAAGGACAAAGUGAGAUGAUUUUUGACAGCACUGGGUAGAUGCAAUAACACUUUGC